CCCGGGGCUGGGCUGCAGCCGCUCAGGGCCACCGUCCCCUUCCAGCUGCAGCAGCCGCACCAGUACUGGGACGGGGGUGGCCGCGCAGCCAGCAUCCCGUGCUCGGUGGCCCCAGAAAAGUCAGUGUGUAAGCCUCAGCCACCCCAUGUCCGACAUACAUUCUCCCUGGACACCAUCCUCAGCUCCUACCUUCCGGGCCAGUGGCCACGGGAUGCCAAUGGGGCCUUCACCUGCUGUACCAAUGACAAGGCCACCCAGACUCCCCUGUCCUGGCAAGAGCUGGAAGGUGAGCGGGCCAGCUCCUGCACACACAAGUGCUCGGUGUCCUGGGGCAGCACAGACAACCGGAAAGAGAUUAUCAAGUUAAAGCAACAACUGCAGAGGACAAAGCUGAGCCGCGGGGGAAAGAGAAGGAGCGGGUCUCCCCACUGCCCGGGGACCACGCCAUGCGGGGAGCACUGAGGGCGUCCCCUCCCAGCCUCACCUCAGAGUCCCCUGUCCUGCGUCUCAGUCCCUGCCUACACAAGAGCCUCGAAGGGCUCAACCAAGAGCUGGAGGAGGUGUUUGUAAAGGAGCAGGGUGAAGAGGAGCUGCUGAGGAUCCUUGAGGUCCCGGAUGGGCACCGUGCCCAGCACUGUGCCCGGCACCUCCCCAGAGUGUCAGCCGUGAUCAUCCCCUCCUCCUCCUGGAGCCUGCAACCUUGCCAGCUGCCCCUCCAUGCCCCUGGCAUCCCGCCAGCCCUGUGACUGGCCCAGCCGUGAGGAACACCGGGGUACCAUGGAGGAGCUGGCAUCCACUCCCCAUGACAAAGCCUCCUCUCCAGGCCCCCCGGCCUCCCUCGAAGAUGGCAGCCCCUCUCCAGUCCUUGCCUUUGCUGCCUCCCCUUGGCCUAAUCACAGCUAUGUCUUCAAGCGGGAGCCCCCAGAAGGCUGUGAGAGAGUGCGUGUAUUUGAAGAGGCCAUGUCUCCAGGUCCUGACCUGACCUUUUUGACCUCCUGUCCUGACAAGAACAGAGUCCACUUCAACCCGACCGGCUCGGCCUUCUGCCCUGUCAGCUUGAUGAGGCCCCUCUUCCCCAGCAUGGGCUUCAUUUUCCGUAAUUGUCCCUCAAGCCUGGGCUCUCCCUGCCCCCAGCCACCCCCUCAAAAGGAUCCAGAGGCCUUCAAAGCCUCCUCAUUGCCAUUUGAGCCAUGGCAGUGUAUGCCCCUGUCAGAAGAACCUGUGCUUUUCCAGAGCUCCCUGAUGGUCUGA